rnacentral:rRNA from 1 species
AUUGAACGCUGGCGGCAGGCCUAACACAUGCAAGUCGAGCGGAUGAAGGGAGCUUGCUCCUGGAUUCAGCGGCGGACGGGUGAGUAAUGCCUAGGAAUCUGCCUGGUAGUGGGGGAUAACGUCCGGAAACGGGCGCUAAUACCGCAUACGUCCUGAGGGAGAAAGUGGGGGAUCUUCGGACCUCACGCUAUCAGAUGAGCCUAGGUCGGAUUAGCUAGUUGGUGGGGUAAAGGCCUACCAAGGCGACGAUCCGUAACUGGUCUGAGAGGAUGAUCAGUCACACUGGAACUGAGACACGGUCCAGACUCCUACGGGAGGCAGCAGUGGGGAAUAUUGGACAAUGGGCGAAAGCCUGAUCCAGCAAUGCCGCGUGUGUGAAGAAGGUCUUCGGAUUGUAAAGCACUUUAAGUUGGGAGGAAGGACAGUAAGUUAAUACCUUGCUGUUUUGACGUUACCAACAGAAUAAGCACCGGCUAACUUCGUG